rnacentral:tRNA from 1 species
AUCUAGUUUAUUUUAAAAUAACAGUUUGUCAAAUUGUAGAAGCUUUUUGCGUU